AUUGAACGCUGGCGGCAGGCCUAACACAUGCAAGUCGAGCGGAUGAAGGGAGCUUGCUCCUGGAUUCAGCGGCGGACGGGUGAGUAAUGCCUAGGAAUCUGCCUGGUAGUGGGGGAUAACGUCCGGAAACGGGCGCUAAUACCGCAUACGUCCUGAGGGAGAAAGUGGGGGAUCUUCGGACCUCACGCUAUCAGAUGAGCCUAGGUCGGAUUAGCUAGUUGGUGGGGUAAAGGCCUACCAAGGCGACGAUCCGUAACUGGUCUGAGAGGAUGAUCAGUCACCCUGGAACUGAGACACGGUCCAGACUCCUACGGGAGGCAGCAGUGGGGAAUAUUGGACAAUGGGCGAAAGCCUGAUCCAGCCAUGCCGCGUGUGUGAAGAAGGUCUUCGGAUUGUAAAGCACUUUAAGUUGGGAGGAAGGGCAGUAAGUUAAUACCUUGCUGUUUUGACGUUACCGACAGAAUAAGCACCGGCUAACUUCGUG
rnacentral:rRNA from 1 species